CAAGGGAUCCUCCUACCACUUGCCCCAACUUGGACUAUAGCGUUAGGGAACAAAGGUUUUCUUCCUCCGAGGAGACUUCCCUGCCUCACACUGCUGCUUUGCUUCAGGUCUCUCUGCUCUGUGUUCUGGUAAUAUCCUGUGCUUUCUAUUGUCAGAUUAAUUGUCCUUAUGCUAGACUGUAAACUCCAGGAAGCCAGGUACUUUUAAAAUAUUACAUUUCUUUCUAAACACAAUGUCUGGCACAUGGUAACAAAUAUCUGUGGGAUGAAUAAAUGUUAAACUGGCAUUUUGAAUCUGGUUUGGUACCAUGUUCACUUUAAAUGCCGUUGAGGGCCAACUGUGAGGUACUUAAUACAUUAAAUGUUUUGCAUAUUUUAUUUACUCCUUAAAACAAAGUUAACAGUGUUGCCUCCAUGUUAUAGAUAAGAAGUCUGAAGCUAGAAAAGUUAACUAAGUUGUCCUCUAAAUAUUAUAAAUAUUAAGUGUGAAGCCAAGAUUCUCAGUCCAUGUCUAAAGCUCAUACCGUAUACCAUAUGCUAAGUACGUUGCCUCAUGCGGUGGUUAGAAGGGAUAUUUAUCCACAGUUAUUUUCAUUUAAAGGAAGCUUCUAAAUGGUAAUAUUAUUUCUUAAUAGUAUUUCUGAGCACUGCCCUUUACCGUGUGCAAAGCAGUCUGCUUGCUGUAUUCUCUAUCUGCUUUUCUUGUGCGUUUUUCAUGAGAGUCAUAUAACAUAGGUAGUUCCCCAAAGGAUAUUAAUGUACUGGCCUAUACCUCGAAGACUCUCGCUUAUUGUGUAGUCCCUUUUUCAUAUUCUGUGCACAAAAAGGUUUUUUUUUUUUAUAUCAGAAAGUAUAACAUUGUAUAACAUAGGAUUGUAUAACAAUCUUAUAAUGUAUAACAGGAUUCACAUCAUACACGGCGGGAGGGGUAAACUAUGUAAUAAGUGGUCAAUUUCUCCCACCCUUUCUCUCAUUGUCAUAUUGUCUAUAGAGACCAAGAGGUAAAACAUAGUUUGUUGUUCUUGGGUCAGUCUCAGUUCUUAUAUGGUCUCCUCAGUAACAUGAGUGACUGACAAUUUUUUUUUUUUUUU
rnacentral:lncRNA from 1 species